UGAUAUUUAAGAUGGAUCUACCUCUCCUU
rnacentral:piRNA from 1 species